rnacentral:ncRNA from 1 species
UCUUAUCCAGAGAGGUGGAGGGAAAGGGCCCUAUGAAACCCGGCAACCGGUGCGUAGCACAAUGGUGCCAAUUCCUGCAGAAAUAUUCUGCAAGAUAAGA